AGAGUUUGAUCCUGGCUCAGGACGAACGCUGGCGGCGCGCCUAACACAUGCAAGUCGAACGAGCGAGAGAGAGCUUGCUUUCUCGAGCGAGUGGCGAACGGGUGAGUAACGCGUGAGGAACCUGCCUCAAAGAGGGGGACAACAGUUGGAAACGACUGCUAAUACCGCAUAAGCCCACGGCUCGGCAUCGAGCAGAGGGAAAAGGAGCAAUCCGCUUUGAGAUGGCCUCGCGUCCGAUUAGCUAGUUGGUGAGGUAACGGCCCACCAAGGCGACGAUCGGUAGCCGGACUGAGAGGUUGAACGGCCACAUUGGGACUGAGACACGGCCCAGACUCCUACGGGAGGCAGCAGUGGGGAAUAUUGCACAAUGGGGGAAACCCUGAUGCAGCGACGCCGCGUGGAGGAAGAAGGUCUUCGGAUUGUAAACUCCUGUUGUUGAGGAAGAUAAUGACGGUACUCAACAAGGAAGUGACGGCUAACUACGUGCCAGCAGCCGCGGUAAAACGUAGGUCACAAGCGUUGUCCGGAAUUACUGGGUGUAAAGGGAGCGCAGGCGGGAAGACAAGUUGGAAGUGAAAUCCAUGGGCUUAACCCAUGAACUGCUUUCAAAACUGUUUUUCUUGAGUAGUGCAGAGGUAGGCGGAAUUCCCGGUGUAGCGGUGGAAUGCGUAGAUAUCGGGAGGAACACCAGUGGCGAAGGCGGCCUACUGGGCACCAACUGACGCUGAGGCUCGAAAGUGUGGGUAGCAAACAGGAUUAGAUACCCUGGUAGUCCACACUGUAAACGAUGAUUACUAGGUGUUGGAGGAUUGACCCCUUCAGUGCCGCAGUUAACACAAUAAGUAAUCCACCUGGGGAGUACGACCGCAAGGUUGAAACUCAAAGGAAUUGACGGGGGCCCGCACAAGCGGAGGAACAUGUGGUUUAAUUCGAUGAUACGCGAGGAACCUUACCCGGGCUUGAACUGUAGGCGAACGAUUCAGAGAUGAAGAGGCCCUUCGGGGCGCCUAUGGAGGUGCUGCAUGGUUGUCGUCAGCUCGUGCCGUGAGGUGUCGGCUUAAGUGCCAUAACGAGCGCAACCCUUGUUCGUAGUUGCCAUCGGUUAAAGCCGGGCACUCUGCGAAGACUGCCUCCGUAAGGAGUGAGGAAGGUGGGGAUGACGUCAAAUCAGCACGGCCCUUACGUCCGGGGCUACACACGUGUUACAAUGGCAUGUACAGAAAGCUGGGUGUAUGCAAAUACGCUCGAAUCCCUAAAACAUGUCUCAGUUCGGACUGGGGUCUGCAACCCGACCCCACGAAGCUGGAUUCGCUAGUAAUCGCGCAUCAGCCAUGGCGCGGUGAAUACGUUCCCGGGCCUUGUACACACCGCCCGUCAAGCCAUGAAAGCCGGGGGCGCCUAAAGUCCGUGACCGCGAGGGUCGGCCUAGGGUGAAACCGGUGAUUGGGGCUAAGUCGUAACAAGGUA
rnacentral:rRNA from 1 species